rnacentral:rRNA from 1 species
GCUUGGAAGCAGCCAUUCAUUUAAAGAGUGCGUAACAGCUCACUAGUCGAGCGGUUCUGCAUGGAUAAUACACGGGCAUAAGCAUACAGCCGAAGCUAUGGACUCAUCGAAAGGUGAGUGGUAGGAGAGCAUUCCAUUUAGCGUUGAAGCAGUAUCGUGAGGUAUUGUGGAGCAGAUGGAAAAGCAAAUGUAGGCAUAAGUAACGAUAAUGCGGGUGAGAACCCCGCACGCCGAAAGGUCAAGGAUUCCCCGGCAAUGUCAAUCAACCGGGGGUAAGUCGGGUCCUAAGUCGAAGCCGAAGGGCGUAGACGAUGGCCAACAGGUUAAUAUUCCUGUACUCAUAUAUGCUGCGAUGCAGGGACGUAGUAGUGACACCGCUGCGUACAGACGAAAUAGUACGUUGAAGCCUUUAUCUGUCGAUGCUGAUAGUUAAGUACGUCAGCAGAGGAAAGGGGUGAUAGUACCGCAAGGCUUCGGCUGCGCGGAUAAUGCGGGUAAUCAGACUACCAAGAAAAUCUGCUAAGCUUCAGGCAUAUAUGACCCGUACUGUAAACGGACACACGUGACCGGGUAGAGAAUACUAAGGCGCUCGAGAUAUUCAUGGCUAAGGAACUAGGCAAAAUGGUCCUGUAACUUCGGGAUAAAGGACGCUGGGGUAAAAUCCAGCCGCAGUAAAAUGGCCCAGGCGACUGUUUACCAAAAACACAUGGCUAUGCUAAAUCGUAAGAUGAUGUAUAUGGCCUGACACCUGCCCGGUGCUGGAAGGUUAAGAGGAGGGUUUAGUAGCAAUACGACGAUCUGAAUUGAAGCCCCAGUAAACGGCGGCCGUAACUAUAACGGUCCUAAGGUAGCGAAAUUCCUUGUCGGGUAAGUUCCGACCUGCACGAAUGGUGUAACGAUCUGGGUACUGUCUCAACCAUGAGCUCGGUGAAAUUGUAGUUCCGGUGAAGAUGCCGGAUACCCGCAACGGGACGGAAAGACCCCGUGAACCUUUACUGCAGCUUUGCAUUGAUUUUGGGUAACAGAUGUGUAGGAUAGGUCGGAGGCUUUGAUGCUGCGUCGUCAGGCGUAGAGUAGCCGUCGUUGAAAUACGACCCUUUUGUUAUCUGAGGUCUAAUCCCGUUAGGGAGACAUUGCAUGGUGGGUAGUUUGACUGGGGUGGUCGCCUCCAAAAGUGUAACGGAGGCUUCUCAAGGUACCCUCAAGGCGUUUGGUAAUCGUCUGCAGAGUGCAAUGGCAUAAGGGUGCUUGACUGUGAGACCGACACGUCGAUCAGGUUGGAAACAAGAGCAUAGUGAUCCGGUGGUUCCGCAUGGAAGGGCCAUCGCUCAAAGGAUAAAA